rnacentral:rRNA from 1 species
GAACCUUAUCAUUUAGAGGAAGGAGAAGUCGUAACAAGGUUUCCGUAGGUGAACCUGCGGAAGGAUCAUUGUCGAAACCUGCAUAGCAGAACGACCCGCGAACACGUUACAAUACCGGGUGAGGGACGAGGGGUGCGCAAGCUCCCCAAGUUGCAAACCCAUGGUCGGGGACCACCCUUGGGUGGAUCUCGUCCGAACAACGACCCCCCGGCGCGGAAUGCGCCAAGGAAAUCAAACUGAACUGCACGCGUCCCCCCCGUUUGCGGGCGGCGGAAGCGUCUUUCUAAAACACAAACGACUCUCGACAACGGAUAUCUCGGCUCUCGCAUCGAUGAAGAACGUAGCGAAAUGCGAUACUUGGUGUGAAUUGCAGAAUCCCGUGAACCAUCGAGUCUUUGAACGCAAGUUGCGCCCGAAGCCAUUAGGCCGAGGGCACGUCUGCCUGGGCGUCACGCAUCGCGUCGCCCCCCAACCCAUCACUCCCUUGCGGGAGUUGAGGCGGAGGGGCGGAUAAUGGCCUCCCGUGUCUCACCGCGCGGUUGGCCCAAAUGCGAGUCCUUGGCGAUGGACGUCACGACAAGUGGUGGUUGUAAAAAGCCCUCUUCUCAUGUCGUGCGGUGACCCGUCGCCAGCAAAAGCUCUCAUGACCCUGUUGCGCCGUCCUCGACGUGCGCUCCGACCGCGACCCCAGGUCAGGCGGGACUACCCGCUGAGUUUAAGCAUAUCAAUAA